rnacentral:rRNA from 1 species
UAAGGAAUAUUGGACAAUGGAGGCAACUCUGAUCCAGCCAUGCCGCGUGAAGGAAUAAGGCCCUAUGGGUUGUAAACUUCUUUUAGACGGGACAAAACCCCUUUACGUGUAAAGGGUUGAUGGUACUGUCAGAAUAAGCAUCGGCUAACUUCGUGCCAGCAGCCGCGGUAAUACGGAGGGUGCAAGCGUUAUCCGGAUUCACUGGGUUUAAAGGGUGCGUAGGUGGGCAGAUAAGUCAGUGGUGAAAUCUUCCGGCUUAACCGGGAAACUGCCGUUGAUACUAUUUGUCUUGAAUAUUGCGGAGGUAAGCGGAAUAUGUCAUGUAGCGGUGAAAUGCUUAGAUAUGACAUAGAACACCAAUUGCGAAGGCAGCUUACUACACAAUCAUUGACACUGAGGCACGAAAGCGUGGGUAGCGAACA